rnacentral:lncRNA from 1 species
AAAACUAUCACCUUGAGUUUCUGGGAGAAGAGGCAAGGCAAGAAUGUUACAAACAAACAAGCUAAUUUUGGAGCAAAACCUGACAAUGGAUAGCCAACUCAUCCUAAAGAUUCCAAAACAAGAAUAGAAUGGAAGGGCAUUGAUUCCAGCGGGCAAAGUGUAUUUUUAGCAUUGUUAAAAAUACUUCCCUCAGUGUCUCCUCACUCUGUGUUUAUACGUUUAUUGGUGGGAGUCCUGAAAAAGUAAAGAAACCUUACUAGUCCAGGCAAUGAAAACAAAUGGAGCAAAUGUAUCAUAAUUGUUUUUUUUUUAAAUGCACAGUCGUUCAGCAAAUUUGUACCAUCCCUUUUUGUUUCCAUCUUCUUCUAAAUGCAGAAGAUUUCGUUUCUAAUUGUUUGUUAGGCUUUCUGUCUUAAAAUGCAGUAUCGAAAGGACAUGGGGAAACGUUUUUCAUUACACUGAUAAAUGGGUAGUAUAGCGCAAGGAGAACACAUUCAAUGUUUAUUUGCCAUAGUGUCAAAUGAAAGGGACACCUCGCAUAAAAGUGACUUAGUUUAUUUUACGUCUUUUGUUUCUUGCUUGUUAAAACCUGGGACACAGUCAAGCAGCUAAUGUUGUGUUAAGUUAUUACCCUAUUUGUUGCUAAAGGGAAAAGCAAACCGCUCUUCCUUGGAGAAACAGGGCCACUUAUUUUUCAUCCGUGAACUGUCUGUGAAAGUUGCCAUGAGUUAAUAUGACAUUUAUCCUUUUCUUUUACCUCCCUCCCCCAUUGCUUUUCCUCUUAUUAAAAAUUAUAGCAAAGAGCUGAUCUAGAUUAGCAAGAAAUGGCACAUCCGUGAAGUAUCUAACAUGAUAAAAUUAAUGUUAACAUAUAAGAUCAGGGCCAUUAAGAUCCUAAGGUAAUUAGAGAUUGAAUUAGCCUUGAAUUGCAUCUGAUUUCAUCUGUUUGAGAUGAAGACAAAGGAACAGUAUAAUAACUGAGCAGACCAGGCUUUUUAAGGUCAGUUUUUUCCUUUAGGGCAAAAAGAAGAGGAGGAGAGGAAGAUAAGACUAAGAUUUGCUUUGUUUCUUUCUGUUUUACACACAC